rnacentral:lncRNA from 1 species
AUGUGUUCUAAAGAGCAGCUCCACUCAGAUCUCUUCUUAGGGGUUGCAUUUCAUCACAGUAUAAAUGGGCAAAUCCAUCACUUCCCUCUGCUCAGUGUUCUUGAAACAAGAGUGAAGGGAAAAUUAGAAGCUGUUCAUUUGGGCUUGUGGGCUCAGAAGCGUCACACUGCUUUGUUCUGUACUCUAUCGUGUCCUGUUGAAAGAGGUCAACAAGUGCCGGGGAGGGUGCAGAGGCUGAGGCUGGCGUCACCUUCCGUUGCUAAGGUAACGUGCUCUGGCCAUUUUAUCUGAUAAAGGAAGUCCAGUGGACUGUAUGCAUUAUUCAUCACUGUUCUAAUCAAACAAUCAAAAUCGUUUAUUUUCACCGGGAAUAUUUAGCAAGAUCAAAGACACUCUGGCUGGAACGGCUCUUGGUUUACCGCCGACAGUUAGCCCUGGGUUUUUAUUUUUUGCAGUAAGUAUAUUGGCUAUUGGGGUACCUUUGGGUAUUUGUAAAAGUUUGUCUUACCGGACUUGGUUUCUUAAAUUAAAAUAUAUACAGUUAAAGAAACCAGUUGGAUAAGCCUUCUGAGGUUGGUUUGAAUGACUUUGUAUUGUUAAUUCUUUCUAAAAAAAAUAUUCUGCAGAAAUAGAGAUAAUUCAGUUGUGCAAGUAUCAGGGAAAGGCUACAUAGGCUUGAAAAAAUAACCCAACAGGCUGAAUGUUUUCUGGGGAAGUAUAUUAGCUUUGUGACAGGCUAGAGUAUGAUAAUGUCAUAGGGAUUAUUGCAAUGCUGCAAUCAUUGUUGCUGCUUUACCAACCACAAUUAUUUCUCAAAAGCAGCCCCUGCCAGGCACAGGCAGGUGACGAUCCUGUAGCACUUUAUAAAAUGUGCUGAAGGCAAUUACCCAAAAGGAAGGAAUUCAAAGCAUUUGUACAGCAAAUAUGUCAGUGCGUGUCAUAAACGCAAGGCUUCUAUGAGUGGAGGCUUAGAUUCCCAGGCGAUUUUCCCUGCUCUGGGGGAAUCCAAAAGUCCCAGGAUCAGCUGAAGAUCACCACUCACAACGCGUAACACUUAAUGAUGCUGUUUAUCAGAUAGAGCUUUUGUAAACCGAUAGCAUGUGAAAUUAACAGUAUAUGUUCCAGCGAAUACAAAGCAAGGAAAGACUGGUAUGUUAUUUCUCUUUAGAUCGGAUCAUCUGUUUUUCCUGGGUA